rnacentral:rRNA from 1 species
UACGUAGGGGGCAAGCGUUGUCCGGAUUUAUUGGGCGUAAAGAGCGUGUAGGCGGCCAUACAGGUCCGUUGUGAAAACUGGAGGCUUAACCUCCAGACGUCGAUGGAAACCGUAUGGCUAGAGUCCGGAAGAGGAGAGUGGAAUUCCUAGUGUAGCGGUGAAAUGCGCAGAUAUCAGGAAGAACACCCGUGGCGAAGGCGGCUCUCUGGGACGGUACUGACGCUGAGACGCGAAAGCGUGGGGAGCGAACAGG